GCUUGUCUCAAAGAUUAAGCCAUGCAUGUGUAAGUAUAAACGAUCUAUACUGUGAAACUGCGAAUGGCUCAUUAUAUCAGUUAUAGUUUAUUUGAUAAUACUUUACUACUUGGAUAACCGUAGUAAUUCUAGAGCUAAUACAUGCGUAAAAUCCUGACUUUCUUGGAAGGGAUGUAUAUAUUAGAAUGAAACCAAUCGGCUUCGGCUGUAUUGUGGUGAGUCAUAAUAACUUUGCGAAUCGCAUAGCUUUAAUGCUGGCGAUGGGUCAUUCAAAUUUCUGCCCUAUCAACUUUCGACGGUAGGAUAGAGGCCUACUGUGGUGAUAACGGGUAACGAAGAAUAAGGGUUCGAUUUCGGAGAGGGAGCCUGAGAAACGGCUACCACAUCCAAGGAAGGCAGCAGG
rnacentral:rRNA from 1 species